GAACAGAAACCGACAAGUUUGAGAGACAAGACGGUGAUACCUGCAUAUCCGAGGAUCCGAGUGGAGGACGUAGCCGGGAAGAUGGAAAACAGACAUCUUUCAU